rnacentral:tRNA from 1 species
GAAUUCUAUUCUUUCAAAUCUUA